rnacentral:rRNA from 1 species
AUUGAACGCUGGCGGCAGGCUUAACACAUGCAAGUCGAGCGGAGAUGAGGUGCUUGCACCUUAUCUUAGCGGCGGACGGGUGAGUAAUGCUUAGGAAUCUGCCUAUUAGUGGGGGACAACAUUCCGAAAGGAAUGAUAAUACCGCAUACGUCCUACGGGAGAAAGCAAGGGAUCUGCGGACCUUGCGCUAAUAGAUGAGCCUAAGUCGGAUUAGCUAGUUGGUGGGGUAAAGGCCUACCAAGGCGACGAUCUGUAGCGGGUCUGAGAGGAUGAUCCGCCACACUGGGACUGAGACACGGCCCAGACUCCUAUGGGAGGCAGCAGUGGGGAAUAUUGGACAAUGGGGGGAACCCUGAUCCAGCCAUGCCGCGUGUGUGAAGAAGGCCUUAUGGUUGUAAAGCACUUUAAGCGAGGAGGAGGCUACUGAGACUAAUACUCUUGGAUAGUGGACGUUACUCGCAGAAUAAGCACCGGCUAACUCUGUGCCAGCAGCCGCAGUAACAC